CAUUCCCAAAUAAACCAGAAAUGACAUUUUUGACGACCAAAAAAGAGAUGGCCCAGGCACGAAGGACAUUUGCACAGACAAUACUUGAGGCCUCCGUAUUUGACAGUGACAACAACUGUGCCAUGUGUGCAACGGUGAAACCACCUAAUCCAGGACCCUCCAUCACUGACUGGAUCCAGUGUGAUAAUUGCAACCGCUGGUUCCAUUCUGAAUGCCUGGACAUGACAAAUGAACAGCUCAGCAGUGCUCAGAAGACAGAGUGGAAGUGUGUGCU